rnacentral:rRNA from 1 species
CCUACGGGUGGCAGCAGUGGGGAAUAUUGGACAAUAGGGGGAACCCUGAUCCAGCCAUGCCGCGUGUGUGAAGAAGGCCCUCGGGUUGUAAAGCACUUUCAGUGAGGAAGAACGCCUGGUGGUUAAUACCCAUCAGGAAAGACAUCACUCACAGAAGAAGCACCGGCUAACUCCGUGCCAGCAGCCGCGGUAAUACGGAGGGUGCGAGCGUUAAUCGGAAUUACUGGGCGUAAAGCGCGCGUAGGUGGCUUGAUAAGCCGGUUGUGAAAGCCCCGGGCUCAACCUGGGAACGGCAUCCGGAACUGUCAAGCUAGAGUGCAGGAGAGGAAGGUAGAAUUCCCGGUGUAGCGGUGAAAUGCGUAGAGAUCGGGAGGAAUACCAGUGGCGAAGGCGGCCUUCUGGACUGACACUGACACUGAGGUGCGAAAGCGUGGGUAGCAAACAGGAUUAGAUACCCGGGUAGUC